AGAGUUUGAUCCUGGCUCAGGAUGAACGCUAGCGGCAGGCUUAACACAUGCAAGUCGAGGGGCAGCAUAAUGGAUAGCAAUAUCUAUGGUGGCGACCGGCGCACGGGUGCGUAACGCGUAUGCAACCUACCUUUAACAGGGGGAUAACACUGAGAAAUUGGUACUAAUACCCCAUAAUAUCAUAGAAGGCAUCUUUUAUGGUUGAAAAUUCCGAUGGUUAGAGAUGGGCAUGCGUUGUAUUAGCUAGUUGGUGGGGUAACGGCUCACCAAGGCGACGAUACAUAGGGGGACUGAGAGGUUAACCCCCCACAUUGGUACUGAGACACGGACCAAACUCCUACGGGAGGCAGCAGUGAGGAAUAUUGGUCAAUGGACGCAAGUCUGAACCAGCCAUGCCGCGUGCAGGAAGACGGCUCUAUGAGUUGUAAACUGCUUUUGUACGAGGGUAAACGCAGAUACGUGUAUCUGUCUGAAAGUAUCGUACGAAUAAGGAUCGGCUAACUCCGUGCCAGCAGCCGCGGUAAUACGGAGGAUCCAAGCGUUAUCCGGAUUUAUUGGGUUUAAAGGGUGCGUAGGCGGUUUGAUAAGUUAGAGGUGAAAUACCGGUGCUUAACACCGGAACUGCCUCUAAUACUGUUGAACUAGAGAGUAGUUGCGGUAGGCGGAAUGUAUGGUGUAGCGGUGAAAUGCUUAGAGAUCAUACAGAACACCGAUUGCGAAGGCAGCUUACCAAACUAUAUCUGACGUUGAGGCACGAAAGCGUGGGGAGCAAACAGGAUUAGAUACCCUGGUAGUCCACGCAGUAAACGAUGAUAACUCGUUGUCGGCGAUACACAGUCGGUGACUAAGCGAAAGCGAUAAGUUAUCCACCUGGGGAGUACGUUCGCAAGAAUGAAACUCAAAGGAAUUGACGGGGGCCCGCACAAGCGGAGGAACAUGUG
rnacentral:rRNA from 1 species